rnacentral:rRNA from 1 species
AACGAACGCUGGCGGCAGGCCUAACACAUGCAAGUCGAGCGAAGCCUUCGGGCUUAGCGGCGGACGGAUGAGUAACGCGUGGGAACGUGCCCUUUGGUACGGAAUAGCCCCGGGAAACUGGGAGUAAUACCGUAUGUGGUCGAGAGACGAAAGAUUUAUCGCCAAAGGAUCGGCCCGCGUUGGAUUAGGUAGUUGGUGGGGUAAUGGCCUACCAAGCCGACGAUCCAUAGCUGGUUUGAGAGGAUGAUCAGCCACACUGGGACUGAGACACGGCCCAGACUCCUACGGGAGGCAGCAGUGGGGAAUCUUAGACAAUGGGGGAAACCCUGAUCUAGCCAUGCCGCGUGAUCGAUGAAGGCCUUAGGGUCGUAAAGAUCUUUCAGUGGGGAAGAUAAUGACUGUACCCACAGAAGAAGCCCCGGCUAACUCCGUGCCAGCCGCCGCGGUAAUAC